rnacentral:pre_miRNA from 1 species
UCUUAUGAAUGAGCAAAGAAAGUGGUUUCUUAAGAUGGAAUCUACUCCCGGUAAAGAUGCUAUGAA